CAGCCCUUGACAUCCCGGUCGCGGAUUCCAGAGACGGAAUCCUUCAGUUCGGCUGGACCGGAGACAGGUGCUGCAUGGCUGUCGUCAGCUCGUGUCGUGAGAUGUUGGGUUAAGUCCCGCAACGAGCGCAACCCCCGUCCUUAGUUGCUACCAUUUAGUUGAGCACUCUAAGGAGACUGCCGGUGAUAAGCCGCGAGGAAGGUGGGGAUGACGUCAAGUCCUCAUGGCCCUUACGGGCUGGGCUACACACGUGCUACAAUGGCGGUGACAAUGGGACGCUAAGGGGCAACCCUUCGCAAAUCUCAAAAAGCCGUCUCAGUUCGGAUUGGGCUCUGCAACUCGAGCCCAUGAAGUUGGAAUCGCUAGUAAUCGUGGAUCAGCACGCCACGGUGAAUACGUUCCC
rnacentral:rRNA from 1 species